AAUUCGAUUAGUUUGAUCCUGGCUCAGAACGAACGUUGGCGGCGUGGAUUAGGCAUGCAAGUCGAACGAGAACCGUAGCAAUACGGGGAAAGUGGCGAAAGGGGCAGUAAUGUAUGGGUAAUCUACCCCGGGGACGUGGAUAGCCUUCCUAACGGAUGGGUAAUACACGGCGAUUCGGCGAGGGGACAUCCCCUUGCCGGGAAAUGAAUUUCGCCUCGGGAGGAGCUCAUAUCGUAUUAGCUUGUUGGCGGGGUAACGGCCCACCAAGGCAAAGAUGCGUAGCGGGUGUGAGAGCACGACCCGCGCCACUGGCACUGAGACACUGGCCAGACACCUACGGGUGGCUGCAGUCGAGGAUCUUUGGCAAUGGGCGCAAGCCUGACCAAGCGACGCCGCGUGUGCGACGAAGGCCUUCGGGUUGUAAAGCACUGUCGAGGGGGAGGAAGCUCCGUAAGGGGUUGACCUAUCCCUGGAGGAAGCACGGGCUAAGUUCGUGCCAGCAGCCGCGGUAAGACGAACCGUGCGAACGUUGUUCGGAAUCACUGGGCAUAAAGGGCGCGUAGGCGGGCCGUCAAGUCAGGGGUGAAAUCCUCCAGCUUAACUGGAGAACUGCCUUUGAUACUGACGGUCUCGAGUGAGGUAGGGGCGUGCGGAACUGAUGGUGGAGCGGUGAAAUGUGUUGAUAUCAUCAGGAACUCCGGUG
rnacentral:rRNA from 1 species